CCGCGAAUCGCCCUUCGGGGUGCACAGGCGCGAAAACUUUACAAUGCUGGCAACAGCGAUAAGGGGACCUCGAGUGCCAGGUUACAAAUCUGGCUGUCGUGAUGCCUAAAAAGCAUUGCAUAGCAAGGGCCGGGCAAGACCGGUGCCAGCCGCCGCGGUAACACCGGCGGCUCGAGUGGUAACCGUUAUUAUUGGGUCUAAAGGGUCUGUAGCCGGCCGGAUAAGUCUCUUGGGAAAUCCAGCAGCUCAACUGUUGGGCUUUCAGGAGAUACUGUCUGGCUCGAGGCCGGGAGAGGUGAGAGGUACUUCAGGGGUAGGGGUGAAAUCUUGUAAUCCUUGAAGGACCACCAGUGGCGAAGGCGUCUCACCAGAACGGACCUGACGGCAGGGGACGAAAGCUAGGGGCACGAACCGGAUUAGAUACCCGGGUAGUCCUAGCCGUAAACGAUACUCGCUAGGUGUCGGCCACGGUGCGACCGUUGUCGGUGCCGUAGGGAAGCCGUGAAGCGAGCCACCUGGGAAGUACGGCCGCAAGGCUGAAACUUAAAGGAAUUGGCGGGGGAGCAC
rnacentral:rRNA from 1 species